rnacentral:miRNA from 1 species
GACCUAGGCUAGGAGUUCUUAGCAUAGGAGGUCUUCCUAUGCUAAGAAGUCCUCCCAUGCCAAGAACUCCCGGACUAGGA